UGAUUAGAAGCUUGCUUCUAUGACGUUAGCGGCGGACGGGUGAGUAACACGUGGGCAACCUGCCUGUAAGACUGGGAUAACUCCGGGAAACCGGAGCUAAUACCGGAUAACAUUUUCUCUUGCAUAAGAGAAAAUUGAAAGAUGGUUUCGGCUAUCACUUACAGAUGGGCCCGCGGUGCAUUAGCUAGUUGGUGAGGUAACGGCUCACCAAGGCAACGAUGCAUAGCCGACCUGAGAGGGUGAUCGGCCACACUGGGACUGAGACACGGCCCAGACUCCUACGGGAGGCAGCAGUAGGGAAUCUUCCGCAAUGGACGAAAGUCUGACGGAGCAACGCCGCGUGAGUGAUGAAGGCUUUCGGGUCGUAAAACUCUGUUGUUAGGGAAGAACAAGUACAAGAGUAACUGCUUGUACCUUGACGGUACCUAACCAGAAAGCCACGGCUAACUACGUGCCAGCAGCCGCGGUAAUACGUAGGUGGCAAGCGUUAUCCGGAAUUAUUGGGCGUAAAGCGCGCGCAGGCGGUUUCUUAAGUCUGAUGUGAAAGCCCACGGCUCAACCGUGGAGGGUCAUUGGAAACUGGGGAACUUGAGUGCAGAAGAGAAAAGCGGAAUUCCACGUGUAGCGGUGAAAUGCGUAGAGAUGUGGAGGAACACCAGUGGCGAAGGCGGCUUUUUGGUCUGUAACUGACGCUGAGGCGCGAAAGCGUGGGGGAGCAAACAGGAUUAGAUACCCUGGUAGUCCACGCCGUAAACGAUGAGUGCUAAGUGUUAGAGGGUUUCCGCCCUUUAGUGCUGCAGCUAACGCAUUAAGCACUCCGCCUGGGGAGUACGGUCGCAAGA
rnacentral:rRNA from 1 species